GAUGAACGCUGGCGGUCUGCUUAACACAUGCAAGUCGAACGCAACCUUCGGGUUGAGUGGCGGACGGGUGAGUAACGCGUGAGAAUCUGCCUUGGGGUCGGGGACAACCACUGGAAACGGUGGCUAAUACCGGAUACGCCUUCGGGUAAAAGAUUUAUUGCCCUAAGAGGAGCUCGCGUCUGAUUAGCUAGUUGGUGAGGUAAGAGCUCACCAAGGCAGCGAUCAGUAGCUGGUCUGAGAGGACGAUCAGCCACACUGGGACUGAGACACGGCCCAGACUCCUACGGGAGGCAGCAGUGGGGAAUUUUCCGCAAUGGGCGAAAGCCUGACGGAGCAAGACCGCGUGAGGGAGGAAGGCUCUUGGGUUGUAAACCUCUUUUCUCAGGGAAGAAGCUCUGACGGUACCUGAGGAAUCAGCCUCGGCUAACUCCGUGCCAGCAGCCGCGGUAAUACGGAGGAGGCAAGCGUUAUCCGGAAUUAUUGGGCGUAAAGCGUCCGCAGGUGGCAAUUCAAGUCUGCUGUCAAAGCACGGGGCUUAACUCCGUAAAGGCAGUGGAAACUGAAUAGCUAGAGUGCCGUAGGGGUAGAGGGAAUUCCCGGUGUAGCGGUGAAAUGCGUAGAGAUCGGGAAGAACAUCGGUGGCGAAAGCGCUCUACUGGACGGCAACUGACACUCAGGGACGAAAGCUAGGGGAGCGAAUGGGAUUAGAUACCCCAGUAGUCCUAGCUGUAAACGAUGGAUACUAGGUGUAGCUUGUAUCGACCCGAGCUGUGCCGAAGCUAACGCGUUAAGUAUCCCGCCUGGGGGAGUACGCACGCAAGUGUGAAACUCAAAGGAAUUGACGGGGGCCCGCACAAGCGGUGGAGUAUGUGGUUUAAUUCGAUGCAACGCGAAGA
rnacentral:rRNA from 1 species